UACGAAGGGGGCUAGCGUUGCUCGGAAUCACUGGGCGUAAAGGGUGCGUAGGCGGGUCUUUUAAGUCAGGGGUGAAAUCCUGGAGCUCAACUCCAGAACUGCCUUUGAUACUGAGGAUCUUGAGUUCGGAAGAGUGAGUGGAACUGCGAGUGUAGAGGUGAAAUUCGUAGAUAUUCGCAAGAACACCAGUGGCGAAGGCGGCUCACUGGUCCAUAACUGACGCUGAG
rnacentral:rRNA from 1 species